GUCGAGGCGGCGCCGCAGCCUGCCGGGCGGACGGGCGAGGGCGAGCGCCCGGCUCCGCGCUGCCCCUGCUCCCCGCGCGCUGCCCCUGCUCCCCGCGCGCCGCGCCCGCUCCUGCGCACCCGACGGCCCGCGGCGGGGAGGAGUCCACCGAGUUUGCCCCGGAGCGCGGGGAAGUUUCCCGCGAAGCUCCGCUCCCGGAAAAGGGGGACCAGCCGGCGGCCGCUGGCGAGGUUACUUCAUGGAAGGAGUGCUUAAUAGAACAAGACAGGACCAAAGCUCUACGGAAAAACAAAUCAUGUGGUCUUCAGAAAUGAGGAGAAAGGCAGCCAUCUGAAAUGGUCAUGAACCCCAAACAAGUCUUCCUCUCGGUGCUCAUUUUUGGAGUAGCAGGGCUUCUCCUCUUCAUGUAUUUACAAGUCUGGAUUGAAGAACAGCAUACAGGGAGAGUGGAGAAGAAAAGAGAACAAAAAACAACUUCAG